GGCAUCCUUACCAGAUGCCUGAACCACCUCAGCUGGCUCCUUUCAACACAAAGGAGCAGCGGCUCUACUCUGAGUUCCCCAUGAAAAACAGAGCUUCUUACCCUAUCACCAAGGGAAACACCAGCCACCCUUCUAAGGAAGCCCAUUUCGGCCGCUUGUACCCGCGAUCUAGUUCUUUCAGUCAUGACCCAACCCUCAUGACCAUAAGUGAGAGUAGGAACGAAGACUGAACAAAACCAUACCAUAUCAUCCCAA